CAGAUUUUAAGACGUAUUUAUUUUAUAUAUCCGGGUGUUUUUGCCUGCAUGUAUGACUGUGCACCAUGCGCAUGCGUGGUUCCUCUGGAGGUCAGAAGAGGGCAUGGUCCUCAGAUUCACCGGGACGGAGUUACAGAUAACCGUGAGCCAUCACGUGGACAACACAAACCCAGGUUCACUGCAAGGACAAGGCAUGCUCUUAACUGCCGAGCCAUCUGGCCCCAGUCACUCCUGUUUUUAUCCCUAGUCUUUCAGAUACAUCUUAGGGUCCAUUUAUACCCCACCUUAGAGCUUUCACAUGGGCAAGUGGCCAACUUGAGAGAACGGGCUGGUGAGAAACAUUUUCAAAGGUAGCUAAAGAGAAUUAUUCAGUUUCACAAGAGAAACUUGAAUUUUAGUUGACUUCUUUCCUGGAGAAACACAUCACUAGCCUUAUUAAGGUAUCUCACCAUGUUAUCUGCAGUACAAGGAAAACCAUUUGAUAUGUCUUCUUUCUUAGAGGGACUUCAAGGAGAAGAGAACACGCUGCUUACCAUGGAGAUGAUCUGACAUGGACCAGCCUUGCCCAGGAACUUUAUUUUUUUUCCAAAGUCAAGGCUGAGAACAACAGUGAGUCCACUAAUAAAUAAGAGGUCUGUGGUCAAAGAUCUGUGGAUGCUGUUAACAAGAAAUACAAUUUUAAUACGAUUCCAGUCGAUGUGCGCUCAGGGUCAAUAACGGAGAGAAAGAAGUCCACGUGGAUGGGGGAAAGUUUAAAAAAAAAACUCUUCCUGGAGCUGAAUUCCAGAAAACUGUGCCUUGGAAUAAAUUUAGAGCCCUCCCUGACCCCCCUGAAAGAAUCACAUAAUUUGGGUGAAUAUAAAAAUCAUAAUCACAGCUUUUGAGCCAAAAUGAUGGGCCAUUUCUAAAUUCUAAUGGAAGGGUCACUUCUGUUCCCCAGUUGUCCUGUCACCUGCUAGCACUUAUUCAUGGCACGCGGUAACUAUCUCAUGGUCGAUGUCCCACUCUUGAAUGGAUAUGUGGAUACUUCACAAGGACAAUGGAAUCAUGGAAGGACCGUGCCCUGGCGGAUAUAUGCACUGGCUCUCUGAAAGCAUCGGAAGCCAGAUCACUACCUGCGUGUUAUGUACUGCAUCAUUCAUUCCUGAUUCUCAAAGAGGCUGGAAGAAGACACUGGAUCUCCUAAAAUGGAUGGUUCUGAGCUGCCACGAGGGUGAUAGGAACGGAACCUGGGUCCUUGGCAACAGUGCCAGGUGCUCUUAGCUUCUGAGCCAUUACUCUAGCCCUGCAAUGGAUAUUAAAGAAAUGGAAGUCUUAAUU